rnacentral:rRNA from 1 species
AACGACUCUCGGCAACGGAUAUCUCGGCUCACGCAUCGAUGAAGAACGUAGCAAAAUGCGAUACUUGGUGUGAAUUGCAGAAUCCCGUGAACCAUCGAGUUUUUGAACGCAAGUUGCGCCCGAAGCCUUUUGGUUGAGGGCACGCCUGCCUGGGCGUCACAC